AACGUAGGAGACAAAGCGUUAUCCGGAGUUACUUGGGCGUAAAGGGGCGUGAUAGGUGGUAUCGUAAGGUCUGGCGUGAAAUUUCUCGGCUUAACCGAGGCAGGUCGUCGGAUACUGCGAGGCUAGAGGACGGUAGAGGCGUGUGGAAUUCCGGGUGUAGUGGUGAAAUGCGUAGAGAUCGGAGGAACACCAGUGGCGAAGGCGACA
rnacentral:rRNA from 1 species